rnacentral:rRNA from 1 species
CGGAGGCGGAGCGAAAGCGAGUCUGAAUAGGGCGUUGAGUCGCUGGGGCCAGACACGAAACCCGUGUGAUCUACCCAUGGCCAGGGUGAAGGAGGGGUAAAGCCUUCUGGAGGCCCGAACCCGUUAUCGUUGAAAAGAUAUGGGAUGAGCUGUGGGGAGGGGUUAAAGUCCAAUCAAACCGGGAGAUAGCUUGUUCUCCCCGAAAUAACUUUAGGGUUAGCCUCGACAUGCAACUGACGGGGGUAGAGCUACUGGAUGCGUGGUGGGCCCUUCCUGGGUACCCCAUGCAACCAAACUCCGAAUACCGUCAGCCAAGGGUCGGGAGAUAGACCGCGAGUGAUAAUAUCCGCGGUCAAAAGGAAAACAAUCCUGAUCGCCAGCUAAGGUCCCUAAACUCAACUUAGUUCUUAAGGAAGUCAGAUUGCCGUGACAACCAGGAUGUUGGCUUAGAAGCAGCCACCAUUUAAAGAGUGCGUAAUAGCUCACUGGUCGAGGAGUCUGGCGCCGAUAAUGAUCGGGAAUAAGUUGGGUACCGAAGCUGCGGGCUGGGAAACCAGCGGUAGGGGAGCGUUCCACGGGCGGUGAAGGUGUUCCGAAAGGGAUGCUGGAGCGCGUGGAAGUGAAUAUGCGGGCUUGAGUAACGAUAUAGAGGGUGAGAAUCCCUCUCGCCGUAAGCCCAAGGGUUCCUGGGGAAGGGAAAUCCUCCCAGGGUUAGCCGGGACCUAAGGCGAGGCCGAAAGGCGUAGUCGAUGGAUAGCAGGUGAAUAUUCCUGCGCUCUCACGGCGAUCAAAGCGUAGUGCGGAUCUAUGAGCUCUCCACCCCUGCUAGAUGGGGAGGCCUUCGGGCCGUUGGAGGGGGAUUGGGUUCCCAGAAAAGCUGCGUGGGCAAAGUGAGACCCGUACCAAAACUGACACAGGUGGGCGAGGCGAAUAGCCUCAGGCGCUCGAGAGAACGGUCGUGAAGGAAUUAGGCAAAUUUACCCCGUACGUUCGCAAGAAGGGGGCCCUUCGGGGCGCAGAGAAAAGGCUCUGGCAACUGUUUAUCAAAAACACAGCACUGUGCUAACUCGCAAGAGGAUGUAUACAGUGUGACGCUUGCCCAAUGCCGGAAUGUCACGGAAGCAGGUUAGCGAAUGCGAAGCUUGUAACCUAAGCACCGGUCAAUGGCGGCCGUAACUAUGACGGUCCUAAGGUAGCGAAGUUCCUUGUCGGGUAAGUUCCGACGCGCAUGAAUAGCGUAAUGACUGGAGCACUGUCUCCACGACCGACUCGGUGAAAUAGUAGUGGCGGUGUAGAUGCCGCCUACCCGCAGCAAGACGGAAAGACCCCAUGAACCUUUACUGCAGGCUCAUAUUGGUCAUGAGCACAAAAUGCGCAGGAUAGGUGGGAGGCUUUGAAGCCGGCGUUUAGGCGUUGGUGGAGCCGUUGGUGAGAUACCACCCUUCUUGAGUUUGUGGCCUAACCUCGAUUCCCGUGAACCCGGGCGAGGGACAGUGUGUGUUGGGCAGUUUGACUGGGGCGGUCUCCUCCGAAAGAGUAACGGAGGAGCGCAAAGGUUGGCUCAGCGCGGAUGGAAACCGCGUUUUAGAGUGUAAGAGCACAAGCCAGCUUUACUGCGAGUCCGACAGGACGAGCAGUCUCGAAAGAGGGCUCUAGUGAUCCUGCGAUCGCGUGUGGAAGCGUCGUAGCUCAUCGGAUAAAAGGUACUCUGGGGAUAACAGGCUUAUCGCUCCCGAGCGUCCAUAGCGGCGGAGCGGUUUGGCACCUCGAUGUCGGCUCAUCGCAUCCUG